rnacentral:rRNA from 1 species
AUACGUAGGUGGCAAGCGUUGUCCGGAUUUACUGGGUGUAAAGGGCGGGUAGGCGGAGAUGCAAGUCAGGAGUGAAAUCUAGGGGCUCAACCCCAAAACCCCUUUUGAACCUGUACCCCUUGAGAAUCGGAGAGGAAGCCGGAAUUCCUAGUGAAGCGGUGAAAUGCGUAGAUAUUAGGAGGAAAACCAGUGGCGAAGGCGGCCUGCUGGACGACAACUGACGCUGAGGCGCGAAAGCGUGGGGAGCAAACAGGAUUAGAUGCCCUGGUAGUCCACGCUGUAAACGAUGAAUACUAGGUGUGGGGGGACUGACCCCCUCCGUGCCGCAGUUAACACAAUAAGUAUUCCACCUGGGGAGUACGAUCGCAAGAUUGAAACUCAAAUGAAUUGGCGGGG